rnacentral:rRNA from 1 species
AGAGUUUGAUCCUGGCUCAGGAUGACGCUGCGCAGCUACACAUGCAAGUCGAGCGGUAGAGAGAAGCUUGCUUCUCUGAGAGCGGCGGACGGGUGAGUAAUGCCUAGGAAUCUGCCUGGUAGUGGGGGAUAACGUUCGGAAACGGACGCUAAUACCGCAUACGUCUACGGGAGAAAGCAGGGGACUUUCGGGCCUUGCGCUAUCAGAUGAGCCUAGGUCGGAUUAGCUAGUUGGUGGGGUAAUGGCUCACCAAGGCGACGAUCCGUAACUGGUCUGAGAGGAUGAUCAGUCACACCGGAACUGAGACACGGUCCAGACUCCUACGGGAGGCAGCAGUGGGGAAUAUUGGACAAUGGGCGAAAGCCUGAUCCAGCCAUGCCGCGUGUGUGAAGAAGGUCUUCGGAUUGUAAAGCACUUUAAGUUGGGAGGAAGGGUUGUAGAUUAAUACUCUGCAAUUUUGACGUUACCGACAGAAUAAGCACCGGCUAACUCUGUGCCAGCAGCCGCGGUAAUACAGAGGGUGCAAGCGUUAAUCGGAAUUACUGGGCGUAAAGCGCGCGUAGGUGGUUAGUUAAGUUGGAUGUGAAAUCCCCGGGCUCAACCUGGGAACUGCAUUCAAAACUGACUGACUAGAGUAUGGUAGAGGGUGGUGGAAUUUCCUGUGUAGCGGUGAAAUGCGUAGAUAUAGGAAGGAACACCA